UCUUGGGGUAGGCUUUUCUACUCCUAGAGGCGACAAGCAACUCAGUGACUAUCUUGUAGGACCCAGAAUAGUCCCCUCCGCUGCCCCUGCCAUGCUAUGGACAAUACCUUCGGCCUUGGGCAUGCUAGGUAAGCACUCUAUCAUGAGAUGCUCAGCCCCAGAGUCUCUUGACUAGCAGCCCAGAAUUUAUUUCUGGAAGCCAAUAACUAUCCCUUUUCCACCAAAUGCAAUUCUGGGCUUUGACUUUAAACCCAAACUCAAACGAAACCAACAAAAACCCCAAACCAAAUGAACAAAAACCCCCAACCAACCAACCAACAACAACAACAAAAAACUAACUAGGCAUCUAUCUCUGCUACUAUGGUUGGGGUAACCAUAUCAAAACAAAAGAAUUAAAUGGAAAUUUAAUUUACAUUAUGAGGCAGAGAGUAAGGUGAAGAGGUCUAGGAAAACGGUGGGCAAAGGUUCAAAAUUACCAUAUGAAAGAAACUUGUUGGCAGAGAGGAAGGUUGGACACUUCUGGCUAUGUCACAGACACAGAAGCACUCCAUAGUGUCUGAAGGUGACCUCUCUCAGUAUAAAACACUAAGGUGAAGAGUUAAGAUGCUAAGGAGACAUGUGGUACAAGCCAUUGUAUAGAGAACUACAUGUGACAGAACACAUGUAGGAAAGCGUAUACAAAGAAAUGAGCCCUGAAGUCUGCUUUAUAUGACCUAUCCCCCCACCCCACAACUCUCUGUAGAUCCUUUGUGCAACAUUACUGUUUAACUAAACUUUUCCUUUGCUCUCGCCUGCUUCCUUCUCUUAAUAAACUGUCAUUGCUUCUGCUG
rnacentral:lncRNA from 1 species